UAUGCAUGGGGGAACCCUGACCGCAAUGCCGCGUGAGUGAAAAAGGCCUUCGGGUUGUAAAGCUCUUUUGUCAGGGAAGAAACACCGGCUCUAACACAGUCCGGGAAUGACGGUACCUGAAGAAUAAGCACCGGCUAACUACGUGCCAGCAGCCGCGGUAAUACGUAGGGUGCGAGCGUUAAUCGGAAUUACUGGGCGUAAAGCGUGCGCAGGCGGUUAUACAAGACAGGCGUGAAAUCCCCGGGCUUAACCUGGGAAUGGCGCCCGGUGACUGUAUAGCUAGAGUGUGUCAGAGGGGGGUAGAAUUCCACGUGUAGCAGUGAGAUGCGUAGAUAUGUGGAGGAAUACCAAUGGCGAAGGCAGCCCCCUGGGAUAACACUGACGCUCAUGCACGAAA
rnacentral:rRNA from 1 species